CGGGUCAUGCAGGGAGGGCCACAUGAUGGUCUGUGACCUUGAGACUGACAUGAUGGAUGGGCCUUGACCCCUGGCCUUCAGCACAGAUUCUCAUGAGGGAACCCAGCCCCUGCUCCCCUCCUUCCAGGCUCUGCCACGCAGCAUCAGAGGAGCAUUGCAGAGAGGAACGGGCCAUGUCCCCCACUGCCUGACUUCGCAGAGUUGGGGAACCCAUCAGCUGGGAGCAAAAUCCUUCUCUUCUCAUCCGUGACGAUGGAAUAUCAUACGAAUUUCAUCAAGAUGUAAAACAAGAACCUACCACCACGACCGGUGAACCUGAGCCCCUCUCCCAACAUAAUGCACACAGAUUCCUGAGCUCAGACGCGGGAGGGCAACCCGGGUAAGAGGCCCCGUUCCCAGAAGGGAAAUUACUGAGUAAAAGCAAACGAGCAUUUUUCAAGCUACAGCUUCCAAGGUUGCUCUCCAGACACACCAUGUCUCUCCCCCAGUCCCCCCCAACCCGGCCACUGUGGGUUCUGAGAAUGUUCUCCAGUUGAGUAGCCAUUUCUUGGAUUUCUCAUAAAGGUGAGCGACUGUU